rnacentral:misc_RNA from 1 species
GAUGAAGAACGCAGCGAAAUGCGAUAAGUAAUGUGAAUUGCAGAAUCCAGUGAAUCAUCGAAUCUUUGAACGCACAUUGCGCCCGCCAGCAUUCUGGCGGGCAUGCCUGUUCGAGCGUCAUUUCAACCCUCGACCUCCCCUGGGGGAGGUCGGCGUUGGGGACCGGCAGCACACCGCCGGCCCUGAAAUGGAGUGGCGGCCCGUCUGCGGCGACCUCUGCGUAGUAAUACAGCUCGCACCGGAACCCCGACGCGGCCACGCCGUAAAACACCCAACUUCUGAACGUUGACCUCGAAUCAGGUAGGACUACCCGCUGAACUUAAGCAUAUCAAUAAGCGGAGGA